rnacentral:rRNA from 1 species
UGACUGUGCUCUAUGGGGCAAGGAAGGAAUGGAAUAGAACAGGUCCGUUAUGCCCUGAGAUGAAGCGGGCGGCACGCGCACUACGAUAGAUGCUAUUUGUGGCUACUGUGAGGGAUGAAGUUGUGUAAUGGGCUUCUGAACGUGGAAUUCCUAGGAAGAAUGAUUGAACAAGUUAUUUUGAAUGUGUCCCUGUCCUUUGUACACACCGCCCGUCGCUAUCUAAGAUGACGCGGUGGACGAAGAUGAGAGGUCUGA